rnacentral:misc_RNA from 1 species
GAACAACAUGUAAAAUUUACUCGAGAAAAAUUAUGUCUAUCGGUACCCAACAGGCGAAGAACAGAAGCAAUUGAUAGACAAUAGCUUCAUUGGUAUCUCACUGCCUUGUUCUUGACAUGAUUUUCAUCGUCAAGAACGUAUAUGAUGCAGACCGAACGAAGAAAUGAAAUUGCUAAUAAUAAGCUUUUAUAUGCUUGAUAGAAUUAGAGAUUCAAAAUCCACCAAUUUUCAGUUUCAGGAAGCAGAUUUUCAAUUUGGGCCUUUAAAUGCGAUUCAAAAGUUAUAGGGUUAUUAAUAUCCAGAUUAUGAAUAUGUAUAUUCAGACAGUUAGAUUGCAAGAAAUGGUAAAAAGUUCAGAUCAAGAUUAAGGCAAACAAACAUUUUAAGUUUUCAAAACAUGAACAGCCAAAUUCAACAACACGGUUACGGCUACAAGUUUACAACAGUUCAGGAGACAUUAGGAAGAUCAUCAUCACGAGUUAAAUUCACAUCUUUACUUUUGAUGAUUGUUCUACAGCAAGAUUGUCCCCAUAAGUGCAAAUGAUGAAUUCAAUCCUUAUGGCUCCCUUCAGUUUUCUUUUCAGCACUUUCUUUCUCUUUCUCUGCCUUUUCUUUCUCAGCCUUCUGUUUCAGCUUCUCCAGCCUCUCCCUCUCCUUUUUCUGGAUAUAGACAUUCUCAGCAGCGCGUUCCUCUUCGCUCAGGACACGGCCCUUGCCAUCGCUGAAGUAGCGAGUUGCCCCCCGAGUUGAAUCCAUCGAACGAGUAAUACAAAGUCGGCUCAGUGCAAAUCUGGUCGCCAUUUCUUGAGUUUUGGCGAUGAUUAAAACGCUUCAACUCUUACUUUGUUGAAACGAAAUAUAGAUGGAGACUCGUCAGGGUUCCAUAUUAAUCCUUUGUUUGGAUUGAGAGGAAUGGAGAGGGGUUUGAAGAUUUCUCCCCUACUGACCAAUGAUGAAG